CAGGUUUUCCCCUUUGUUUGUUUCAUGCUGCUUUUUCUCUAUUUGUUUUCCUAGUUGUGUGUCUGUAUGUCUGUCAGCAUGGGUCACUCUAUGCCAGGGGUCAGCAAGGUGUUGGUCUAAAGGACUAGAAAACCUUUGCAGUUUGUUUUCCUUGUUCUCUCUUUGGCUGCUACUCAGGUAGACUGUCCUGACACGAAGGCCACCAGAGACUCUAUGGCUGAAAGAUCAUAUUUAAGCUCCAAAUUACCGUUUUUUGUUUCUUUUUUUUAAGGCAUGACCUCUGCUGUCCACAUCAUACUGAGUUUAUUUAAUUUUUCUUCUUUUUCUCACUCCUGUUUCUUCUUUUGUCUGGAUAUGGACCUAUUGUUCAACUGGGAUCAGAAGGUACAAAAAGACAGAAUAGCAGACCAUGUUCUGUCAGAACUCUCCAGCAUGCCACAACCAUCUUGGGUGGCCCUACCCAACAAACUGUGGGAAAUUCUUCAAAAGAUGGGAAUACCGGACCACCUUACCUGCCUCCUGAGAAAUCUGUAUGCAGGUCAAAAAGCAGCAGUUAGAACUGAACAUGGAUCACGGACUAGUUCCAAAUGGGAAAGAAACACAUCAGGGAUGUAUAUUGUCACCCUUAUUUAACUUCUGUGCAGAGUACAUCGUGAGAAAUUCCAGGCUGGAUGAAGCACAAUCUAGGACCUAGAUUGCUGGUAGAAAUAUCAGUAACCUCAUAUAUGCAUGUGACAUCCCCCUUAUGGCAGAAAGUGAAGAACUGAAGAGCCUCUUGAUGAAACUGAAAGAGGAGAAUGCAAAAGCUGG
ensembl:lncRNA